UGGGGAAUAUUGGACAAUGGGCGCAAGCCUGAUCCAGCCAUGCCGCGUGAGUGACGAAGGUCUUCGGAUUGUAAAGCUCUUUUUGGCGGGGACGAUAAUGACGGUACCCGCAGAAUAAGCCCCGGCUAACUUCGUGCCAGCAGCCGCGGUAAUACGAAGGGGGCUAGCGUUGUUCGGAAUUACUGGGCGUAAAGCGCACGUAGGCGGAUUGUUAAGUCAGAGGUGAAAUCCCGGAGCUCAACUUCGGAACUGCCUUUGAUACUGGCAAUCUAGAGUCCGGAAGAGGUUAGUGGAAUUCCCAGUGUAGAGGUGAAAUUCGUAGAUAUUGGGAAGAACACCAGUGGCGAAGGCGGCUAACUGGUCCGGUACUGACGCUGAGGUGCGAAAGCGUGGGGAGCAAACAGGAUUAGAUACCCCCGUAGUCCCUGAGCGGGCUGGCAAGGCGCAU
rnacentral:rRNA from 1 species